GACGAACGCUGGCGGCGUGCCUAAUACAUGCAAGUAGAACGCACAGUUUAUACCGUAGCUUGCUACACCAUAGACUGUGAGUUGCGAACGGGUGAGUAACGCGUAGGUAACCUGCCUGGUAGCGGGGGAUAACUAUUGGAAACGAUAGCUAAUACCGCAUAAUAUUAAUUAUUGCAUGAUAAUUAAUUGAAAGGUGCAAUUGCACCACUACCAGAUGGACCUGCGUUGUAUUAGCUAGUAGGUGAGGUAACGGCUCACCUAGGCGACGAUACAUAGCCGACCUGAGAGGGUGAUCGGCCACACUGGGACUGAGACACGGCCCAGACUCCUACGGGAGGCAGCAGGAGGGAAUCUUCGGCAAUGGACGAAAGUCUGACCGAGCAACGCCGAGUGAGUGAAGAAGGUUUUCGGAUCGUAAAGCUCUGUUGUAAGAGAAGAACGGGUGUGAGAGUGGAAAGUUCACGCUGUGACGGUAUCUUACCAGAAAGGGACGGCUAACUACGUG
rnacentral:rRNA from 1 species